CACUUACUACUUUCAAUUUUGAUCUGGAGGAAAAUCUACCUGAACAUCCCACCCAGAUCAUUUUUAAAAUAAUCUAAUGACUAUGUGUUUACUGCAGUUGGAAAGAGGAUUGUAGAGUAAAAUCUGUAUAUUUGGAGGUUCCCUGAAAAGGUAGAAAAUUAAAUGAAGUAUUAUCAUGUGAAUACAACAAUUAUCAUAAAACAAACAAGUGUAAAGUAGGGGAAAUACUGACAUAUUUGAUUAUUGGCAGUAUUUUGUGAAAGGAUACAGGAAUGGGGGAUGUUAUCAACUUUAAAAUGUCAAGAAACCGUAUUUAUGAAUAUAUUUGAAAAGAGUCCUUCUCAGGAUGCCAAAAAUCUCAUACAGAAUUUCUUUUUAAAAUUCUAUUAGUACGUUUUCUUGUAGCAAUCUCUUAUUUUAGAUAAUAUACAGGGUAACUGAAGAAAUUUUAGGAGAACACUUUAAUACUUAAAGAAAAAUCUUUUUCUAUUACUUUACAAUAAUCGAUAGUUUGGCACUAUUAUAAGCAUUAAAGAAGAAACAAUGCUAAAUUAAAAAAAAAAGAGAGAAAACAGGAGUUCCUGUUGCGGCACAAAGGAAACAAAUUUGACUAGGAACCAUGAGGUUGUGGGUUCAAUCCCUGGCCUCACUCAGUGAGUUAAGGAUCUGGUGUUGCUGUGAGCUGUGGUGUAGGUCGCAGAUGCAGCUUGGAUCUGGAGUUGCUAUAGUUGUGGCGUAGAUUGGCAGCUGUAGCUCUGAUUCCCUAGCCUGGGAACCUCCAUAUGCCACAGGUGCUGCCCUAAAAAGAAAAAAUAAAUAAAUGAAUGAAUAAAUAAAUAAAUAUAGAAAAAAUAAAAAGAAAUAAUAAUAAUAAACAAAAUCAUAGAAUCACAUGUUUAAUCAAAUGGUCAGAAUAUUUGUUAAAGUGAUCAAUAAUGGUUGUGCUCAAAUUUAGAACAAAGGCAAACAGCUGAAAAUUCUCCCAUUCACCUCUCUCUGUUUUUGCUUCUUUUUCCAAAAUAUCUCUUGAACAAAAUGACAACAGUAUUCAAAGCAAGGGCUUAGCAAAUAUAAUUCUGGAGGGAUAAAAACACGAGGAAUAUCAUUACUUUAUACUUUUAUUGUCAUCUUUGCAUCUUCCUAGUGCUCUCAAAUUUAUCCUCUUUAUUCUAGACUGUUAUAAAAAUUUGCCUAUCAUUUAAAAAUAUCAAAUAAAUUAAUCCACACAGCAAAAGUAUUAACUACCACUUUCUAAGAUACUUGUAUGUAGGUUUAUGCUUACACACACACACAUCUUUAAUUUUAUAUAAACCAACCUUGCAAAAUCAGAAUUUUUUAUCAAUCAGGAAACUAAGGCUCAGAGAUGUUAGAUUCUUUGUGAAAGUCAUGCAGCUGGUGUAUCUUUGAACUUGUUUACUCUGGUUCAAUCCAUUAACAGGUGAAUUAUCUCAUACCUACUUUAGCAUAUACCAAAAUAAGCAUUAUAAAUUGUUUCUUCUCUGUAAAGCUAGUUCUAAAUUACCCCUACAUCAUUGUAUUGACUAUAAUGUUCAAAAUAUUUGGACAUUAAAAAGAACAUCAAAGUAUUCUUCUUUAUUUUAUUUUUUCUAGUUCCAUUGAUAAUAAUAGCUGACCUUAUUAAGGGAUGAUGAUCCUACAAUCAUUAUUCUAUACUUUCUAGGAACCAUUUCCCUCAAUAGUCACAACUCUAAUGAGGUGUCAUAUUAGUUAGACAGUUUCAAUAGUGAGUGACAAAAAGAAUGGAAAUGACAGGCUUUUACAAUGUGGAAAAAUUCUCUUUUAAGUAAAUAUAUGGGUAAGUUACGUAGGGAUGGUAUGAUGCCAAAAACCCAAGCUCCGAAAAGCUGGCAUAUGGUACUUUUCCCAUUUUGUUGGUCAUAAAACAGUCACAUGGGUAAAUGCAACAAAAAAGGAGCUGGAAAAUACAAUGUAAUUUAUGGAAGGCCAUUUAACUCAUUAAAAUUGGGGAGGCUGUAUCAAAAAGGGAUAAAAUACAAAAGGUAUUAAAAAAAAUCAGAAGCAUUCUCUAAGUAGGCAUAAUUAUUAUUCUUCUUUUCCAAAUGAGCAUAGUAAGACAAAGAGAUAUAAAGUAAUAUGCCUAAGGUCAUACAACAACUUGCUCCCUUCAGUUUUUGCUCACUUCACUGUGAAUGCUUAUUACAAGGUCAAUUUUAUCAUAAUGUCUGAUUUAUCUUCUGACUAUCUAUGUUUUUCCUUGAAUCAAAAAUCAUUCUGUCAUCUGCAAAGAUAGAUAGAAUAUGAACACAUAAAAGGUAAAGCAUCCAAAAAGUCAAGGGAGAGGAGGGGAAAAAAAGGCGAGGCCAAGAAUAAUUUAUUAUCAAAAUUAAGCUACCCUCUAUACAACAAAAUUAUCCUCAUAAAUGAAAAGGGGCACACUACUGAUGCAUGCAAUGACAUAGAUAAAUCACAAAAGCACUAUGUUAAAUGAAAGUAGCCAGACCCAAAAGGCUUCCUCCUGUAUGCUUCCAUUUUUAUGACUAUUGAAAAGGAAAACUAAUGAUAGAAAUCAGAUCAGUGGUUUGCCAGUGCCUGAGAGGGGAGCAGGGACAAUGACUGCAUAAAAGCAAGAAAAAANGCAAAAAAAAAACCCCAUUUUUUUUUUUUUUUUUUUGCCAUGCCCACCGCACAUGGAAGUUCCUGGCCAGGGAUCAACCUGUGCCUCAUCAGCAACCUGAGCUACAGUAGUGACAACACCGGAUCCUUAACCUGAUGAGACACCAGAGAAUUGCAAGAUGAAAAUAUUUUGAUAUUGAAAUAGCUAAAAAGUAUCCAUUUGACUAUAUAUAAAUAAUACUUCAAUAAUCAUGAAUUAUACAAAAACAUAAACUGUGUAAGCUAUCAGGUAGUCUUAGUCAGCUGAGGAUUACAAUUUGCCUCUGAGUUUCAUAAACUGAAUGUGAGAUUAAAAUAACCAGUUAUGGAGUUCCCGUCGUGGCGCAGUGGUUAACGAAUCCGACUAGGAACCAUGAGGUUGCGGGUUCGGUCCCUGCACUUGCUCAGUGGGUUAAGGAUCCGGCGUUGCCGUGAGCUGUGGUGUAGGUUGCAGACGCGGCUCGGAUCCCGCGUUGCUGUGGCUCUGGCAUAGGCCGGUGGCUACAGCUCCGAUUCAACCCCUAGCCUGGGAACCUCCAUAGGCCGCGGGAGCAGCCCAAGAAAUAGCAACAACAACAACAACAAAAGACAAAAAAUAAAAUAAAAUAAAAUAAAAUAACCAGUUAUAAGGUCAUCAGUGUCUUUGACAAUAAUAUGAAGAGAAAUAAUCUGGGCAAGGAUGAAAUAAGAUGGUGUUUUUUUCAAAAAUACAGGUUGCUUUUAUGUAUCAUAGGUUGGUAAUAAACAUUUCAUUGUACCAGUUAUGUAAAUUAUAAAUUUGAGGUACAUCAUUUAAGCAGGAUUAAUUCAUGCCUGAGUUACUCAUUAAUGCCAUGGUUAAAAUUAUAUACUUAAAUGUACUCAGAACUCUAGAGAGCACCAUUCUUUGUUUGCAUGCACAAGAAAAUACAUAUAAACUAAUCUAAUCAAGGGUUAUUUAUAGUUCUAAUUGUCAAGUAGGUCUUAUCAACAUGAUUUUUGUCAGGUACCACUUUAUAAAUUCAUUCUAGUUUCUAAAUACCUCUUUCGUUGUUGUUAAAUUGGUUUAACAUAGGCUCAUACCUUAUUUAGUCUUUCUGUGCUAUUUAUCAUAUCUUCUAGCAAAAAGUCCAAAAAAAAAAAAAAAGAGAAUAAUCCACAUAUUAGAAUCACAUUAUUUUGUUUUGGAUCCUGGAAAACAUUCAUUAUAGAAAUAUUCAUUCACCCUGGCUCCCUCAUUUCCUACCUGGAACAUUGGAAAAGGCACUUAACUUCUCUGUACCUCAGUUACCUCACAAAAAAUGAAGCUAAUAAAAGCAGCUCACUAACAAAGUUCUAUGGUAAGGGUAAAAUUAGUCAGCAUAUGUAAAAUAAAGCAAGCAUUAUGUUAGGUGCUGCUACCAUCACUCUUAAUUCCUAUGUGACAUAGAUAUUCCUCAAAAGACAAAAUUAUAUCUAGUACCUCUCUAUAUAGAUACUGUGUAACCUUUUGAUGUCUUAUCACCUCCUACCAGAAAAGAGUAAAAAUGUAAAUUCCAUGGUAAUAAUGUCACAAAUUAAUACUAAGCCUGGACUAUACAUAAAUACCUUAAAAAUGAUAAAAUUCAGCCCAGCAAUCUGAAUAUAAUACACUAUGGGAAGCAUGUUUGUAUUACAGUUAAAAUGUAAGAAAACACACACACACACACACAAAACAAAAAUGAAACCUAUGAUGUGUUGCUUAACAUUUGAUGGAUUCCAUCUUGGGUGACUUAUUUUAACUUUGGAUGAAACAUGGGGUCUAAUUUCAAAUCUAGUCAUUGAAAAAAAUCUUAGUAGGACUUUAAUCAGGUUUAAGUUAUGAUAGUAGCCAUGGAAAGUGAGGAUGUAAACACAUUCUGACAGAAUAGAAACAUGAGAUUAUUCCUUUUAAGAGAAUUGCAUCUCUUUCCCUUAAAGGACAUUAAAAACUUCAACAAUUAUUUCUUUAGGAGGCAUUACUCUCCCCACAACUCCAUCACAGUUUUCCUUUAGACAAGUUCACAUUCCACUUUUUACAGGGACAUUUAUCUCUGUAAAAAAUAUGGGAUAUGUUAUGGCACUGUUGUUACACUGGACAGAUCAG
rnacentral:lncRNA from 1 species